CUGCCAAGUGAUCUUCUAUUUUCUUCUAUAUAAGAUAGCAAGAUCAUCUCACUACAACCACUUUUAGAGCACUGAACUUAGAACAGCACAACUAAAAACUUUUCUUUCCGAUCCAACCAUAAUCAUCAUGGCAAAGAUUUCCUCUUCCUCCAUCCUCUUCUUUGUUGGUUUUCUCUUGUUGUUGAUAACCGUACCCGCAGCUACCGACAAGUCUACUCCUACUCCUUCUGGUAAUACACCAGAUGGUAGUGAAUGUCCCAUGAGGGAUGCGGCUAAUUCAAAAGGGACGAGUAGAAUAGUUGAUGGUCUAUCAUGUGAUGGUUGUACGAAAUCUUGUUUUAAGAAAUGUGGAAAAAGCAAAACAAAAACUCUUCUAGCUUGCAGGCAAAUGACUUCUAUUAAGUGGAGCUGCGGGUGUUGUUGUUCCAAGGACUAGAUGUCAUCAUUAAGUACUAAUCUACUGUGAUGGUAUCAAGGACUACAGAUAUGCAAGGACAUCGUUGUCAUUUUAGAAUUUCUCAUUCCUCAUUGUGCCUUUUUAUUUUUUCGUUCGGGUGAUUUUGCUAUUUGCUAGUUUUCUUAAUUUAUUUGAGCUUUGACAGAUGAAAAUAAGGUAGCUAAGAUGCUAAAAUCUGUGUUAGCCGAGGCUGCUUGUAAUUUGAUGCAUGAAAUAAAGCAUUCAGUGUGGCGUUCUAAUUUUCAAAAUAUAAAUGAUUCUCAGUCACGGACAUUAUUGUCA